rnacentral:rRNA from 1 species
UACGGAGGGUGCGAGCGUUGUCCGGAAUCACUGGGCGUAAAGGGCGCGUAGGCGGCCUGAUAAGUAGGGGGUGAAAUCCUGCGGCUUAACCGCAGGGCUGCCUUCUAAACUGUCAGGCUAGAGCACAGUAGAGGCAGGUGGAAUUCCCGGUGUAGCGGUGGAAUGCGUAGAGAUCGGGAAGAACACCAGUGGCGAAGGCGGUGCUCUGGGCCGGAACUGACGCUGAGGAGCGAAAGCGUGGGGAGCAAACAGG